rnacentral:rRNA from 1 species
AUUGAACGCUGGCGGCAUGCCUUACACAUGCAAGUCGAACGGCAGCACGGGUGAUUGCACCUGGUGGCGAGUGGCGAACGGGUGAGUAAUACAUCGGAACAUGUCCUGUAGUGGGGGAUAGCCCGGCGAAAGCCGGAUUAAUACCGCAUACGAUCUACGGAUGAAAGCGGGGGACCUUCGGGCCUCGCGCUAUCGGGUUGGCCGAUGGCUGAUUAGCUAGUUGGUGGGGUAAAGGCCUACCAAGGCGACGAUCAGUAGCUGGUCUGAGAGGACGACCAGCCACACUGGGACUGAGACACGGCCCAGACUCCUACGGGAGGCAGCAGUGGGGAAUUUUGGACAAUGGGCGAAAGCCUGAUCCAGCAAUGCCGCGUGUGUGAAGAAGGCCUUCGGGUUGUAAAGCACUUUUGUCCGGAAAGAAAUCCUUGGCCCUAAUACGGUCGGGGGAUGACGGUACCGGAAGAAUAAGCACCGGCUAACUACGUG